GUUCAAAAUUCCCAAAGAUCAAUGUCUUUGCAGACGUUUAUGUUCGACCGGGGCAUGAGUUGGUCGAGUCCCUUCAUGUAACAACCCGCCCCUAAUUUUACGAUUGUAAAAAUGUAAAAGAGUGAAUCGACAAAAAUAACCCUAGAGGCCGAAUUGUUGACUUUCAUUGACCAUCAAUUCGUGACACAUACGAGCUACUAUUUUACCGUAUUCUUGAAGUUCUCGACAGUACGAAUGCUUAGACACAAGCAGAAUCAAAUUAAGAAUUAUGACAAAGAUUAUGGAUGUACAAAGGUGAAAGGUAAUUUAGUAAAUUCACUAUUUUUCGAUGAAUUGUCCCUCAUUAUUUUAUUAAUUUCUGUUGAGAUUUUUUUUAUGUCAACGGGGCCCACGCCCAUUAUCCUGUGUUCCCAUUUCUCCUAAACCACCAUUUAUUUGCUACCACCUCACCCUACUCCUGUUCUUAUCUCUCUUGCUUUCUCAUCCCUCUCGUCCCACCUUUACAACUAUCGACGCCGAGACCAGAGCACCACCUCCAUACCCAUCACCAACUUAGUGCGAACUCAACUCCCCCAAACAUCAUACCAUUUCUCCUCUGUAAACGAACCACCACCAUCGAACCAGGAUGCCGUGUGACCUCCAUGUUUCCCGAUGAGAACCUCAAGAAUUUCAGUGUGGAGUAACAAACCCAUUUUUCCGACGGAGGUCCAGUGUCAGUCGAGUCGUUUUCCGACCAACUAUAGCCACGGUCGAGGAAACCAAAGGUGUAAUUACUAUCGGAGACUUUGACUUUCUUAGUUCGAAAGGAUGUGACAUCGCAAAUAUCUGUUUUAGUGGCUGAGCUUCCAUGUCGACAAGGAUUUCUGGCAAACUGUUGUGUUGGGAAUACUACCGAUGGCGAUGAUGAUGGAGAAGAGGCAGUUGGUUCUUCAGGAAUUGGCCUCCCAACUUUCUCCCGAAACUCCGAUCGAGUAUAUGGAUCCCCUCGAGGAUGCGAGGUUUCAAAUCCUUACAAAUACCUUGGGUUAGACUCUCGAGCGGAGGCUAGGGAUGUAUUGUAGGGGGAUGGGGAAGCAGGAACCUAGAGCCUCUUCAUCCUCCUAGUCGAAGGGCGAGGUGACAGCUUUGACAGAAGAGGUGGCCGGCCUUAAGAGUGAGCUUGCCUCGUAUAAGAGCCAGAUGUCACUGAUCGUAAAGGCCCUUAGUGAGUCCGGCAUUCGUCUCCCAGAUAUUCGUAUCCCAUCGAUGUCCAAGUCCCUCCAACCCGAGCAUGCCUAGAACUCCGCCCCUUUGACCUUUGAACCCGUCCUUAUCCCCGAGGUCUUCUUGUCCCAAUAUUUCCAGCCGCCUGCGAACGACGACCCCCUUAGAUUAUUCCACCUUCUUUUCUUAGCUUUUAACUCCCUUACUUUUUAAACUUUUUCCUUGUACAUACAUUUCCUUUUUAUUUUCAAUAAAUUAUUUUUCUCUU